GGCAGUAGCUCAGUGGCAGAGUGCUUGCCUAGCAUGUGCAAGGCACUGGGUUCGAUCCUCAGCACCA
rnacentral:tRNA from 1 species